GAAAAACCUGUCCCUGACAAGUUUUUGGCCUUGUACGAUGGGCCUGUGACAUAGAGCCAUCGCAAGGGCAGUUACCUGCGAAGGGCUUGCGAUGCAAGGCCAUAGAAACCGCUCAUUUUUUUGGUUCCGGACUUUAUGAGUUUCUAACUUCAUUAUAACUUUUUCCCACUUCGUAUUGGAUGAAAUUUUGGUGGAAAAGAACCCUAAGGACCUUUCUCAAACCCUAAGGUAAGUUCUUAAUUCAUCCCUAUGAAUUCUAAAUCAAAUCCAACCUUGUUUAACAGUAGUUCAUCUUCUUAAUCCCUAGAUUUUUUUAAAACUCAAAGAAGGAAGAAGAAGGGACGUUUACGAUUUCGUGAAAAAGGUUUGAUUUAUAUGAGGAAUUUGUACAUGUUCUGUCAAGUUCUUAUGGCUAUUUUAAUUUUGAUGGCGAAGAGUAUUUGUUCAGAAUAUUUCUAUGGAUGCCAUCGUUCAACCCUAAGGAGGAAACAUCUAAAGCCUUGGUAUGGAUUUCAUUGGCGGAGUUACCUACAGAUCUCUUUGCGAGGAGGUCCUUAUUGUCGAUUGCGGCAGCUGCACGGAAGCCUAUUGCAGUGGAUAAAGCAACAUAAGAUCGCACCAGGCCAACUACUACUAGGGUUAAGAUAAUCCUAGACCUACUGGACAAGCAUCCAAAUCGGGUACGACUACAGUUUUUGGAGAAAGAAUAGGGUAAAAUUAUUGAGCAUUAUCAAAAAAAUUGUCAUGAUAAUCUUCCACUGUAUUGCACUCAUUGUAAACAUCAAUGACAUGAGGAAAAUAAAUGUCGUUUGUUAAUGGGGAAGACGAUAUCUCAAGGUGAUCGAUUAGGCGAUGAAGCUGGUCGUGAUGUUGCAGUUAUGCAGCCUGAUUCUGAGGCUAAUGAUAUGGAACAAUUAAUGGGAGAUGCACGUGAUUUUUUGAAUGAUCAGAGAGCUGGAAAAAAAGAUAUUGAAAAACCUGCAGGUGAUCUAAAUAUGGGGCAGCAAUUGUCUGAGAAUUUUAAUUCGAACAAGGAUAAUUCUUUUGCAAUUGUUGCAAUUACAACUGGUGGAAACCAAAUUGUGGUUUUAUGAGUUCAAAGUGGUCUUGCUAUUGGUGCAAUUACUCCUAAUGUCGUUGAACAGAGAGUAGAAAAACAGGCUGCUGGUCACGUUGAGAAGGAGAUGCCUAGUUUGCCUAUUUUGAAACCUACCGGAAUUACAAUUUCAGAGCCAACUAAUUUUGUUGUUGCGGCUUCACGGAAUCGAACUCUUGUUCCCGCUGGAGAGAUAUUGGAGCAGCAAGAUGUUUCAGGUGUUUGCAAUAAUCAGCAGGGUGUGGUUCUUGUAGAUCCAGUUCAUCGUGUUGGAGUUGAAGUGCAAAAUAGUGGAAUUAUUACAAAAGCUUUGCUCGUAGCGUGGCAAGUCGAUUCCGGGCAGCAACUAAAUAGCAAUUUUGUUGGAAACGGAGUGCUACUGAUGCGAGGCUUGGGAUUGAAGAUACUGCUGGACAGUGUAUACAAAUUCAAAAGCCUUAGUCGGUACGCGACAAGUUGAUUUUGCGCAACAAUUAAAAUUGCAGUGCUACUGGAAGCAAAAAUGUGUGUGUUGGUGAUCUUGGACAAGACAAGGAGCUGGUGCUGCAGUCCAGUGGUAUCAAGAAGUUUGCUACAGAUGGUAACAAAAGAAUUGCACAAUGCGAUGCUUUACAGGUAAAAAAAUCUAUUGCGCAAGAUGAGAAAAUGGAAAUCAUUGCAGCUUCAAAACCUGUUGACUUACAAGCUGAAAAUUCCAGCAGUGAAGAGAAUGCAUCUGGAAAUUGGACCGUGAUUACACACAAAAAUCAGCUGGUAGUCGUAUUGUUCCUUGACUAGUCGAAGUAAUUCUCCAAGUUGGGAAAUUGGAACGACCGCGAAUUUUGAGUUGUGCGUUGAUCCUAAUUUAAUUUUACAAACUCAAAAUGUUUUUGAACCAUUAUCCGCUAAUAAAAAAUUUUAGCUAGAACAUUGUAUGGAGAUGAGUGGUCCUAAGUGGGCUGAUUUAGUUGAUGAAGAACAGCAGGUUUCACCUCCUCCUUUGAAUAGUAAAUUAAGUCCAGAAGCUCCAGUAUUUGUGCCUAAAAGUGUGAUUGCAAAGAAGAAUGAGCCAGGGGCCUUAGCGACAGGACUUAGUCCAACAAAUGCUUUUGCUAUUGAUUUGGGCGAGGAUUCUUUUGACAAGGAUGAGGAAGAUAAUAUUUUGGACAUAUGCUUUGAUAAAAGGGCUAGGUUUGGGGAGAUCUCACCUAGGAAACAAAGAAGUGGAAGCAACAAAGCAAAAAGAAGACACAUGGAAGGCAGCAUAGUCGGGAUGGUAAAGUGCCUGGCGAGUUUGUUCCAAGGCACCUACCGGUGCGACUUGCAAAGCAGAAUCAUACGACAGUGUUAGUAUUUACAACAAGAUCCAACGAAUGCAAGAAGAAAUGAUGAACUAUCAAGAGAUGCUGGACAGAUUUGAAGAAGAAGACAAGAAGAAAAUACUUCAGGUUACUUUAGACGAGAAAUCUAUCUUUUUUGAUUCAUACAUUUGUAAAAGGAAGUUUGAAGUUGAUAACUCAACUUUCUUCUUGGCUUUUGUAUUUUUGCAUUAUUUAAGCAUCCUCAUUUGUAAUAUCAUCAUAGAGUGUAUUACAAAUUCUGUGAUGGUCAUAGAAUACCUAGUUCUCUCUAGCUCUUAUUUUAUUCAUGUUUGUUAAUUAGUAGAGGUUCGUUACGUCAUUAGGAUUGGUAAGGUAAGGCUUA